GCUGGGGUGACCUUCGGGGUCUGGGGGAGUUUGCUGGUGCAGCAUAAGCUAGCCCACCCUGACUAAUACACAUGCCAACGUCAGCCGUGACGGGAGGAUGUCACCUUAGGAAAACUGAGAUCCAAGGAAGCCCAGAGCCCCAGAACAAAGGCUCUCCAUCAAAGGGCUGCGGGCAGGUCAGGAGAAGUCUGGGAGAGGUCAGCAGGAGCAUCACAGGGUUACAGAAUCGGCCCACCGCCCUGAAGACCCCUGUGUGGUGCUCGUCGUUACCGUAAAUACAGCUCUUAGACCCUCUGCAUCCCGAGACGCGCCAUCGUUUCCACCUCCCCGUCUU
rnacentral:lncRNA from 1 species